AGGCUUAAAUUUGCCUGUGUAAAAGACGGUUUCUAAAAUUCCCUACGGAGCAUGGGCUUUGCUUAAUUUUAAGCUCCGAUAAAAUAAUCUGAUUUAAGGCAAACCUACGUGUUAGGAUGGUCAUGUCACUCGAAGGAAGCUUGCUGUCUGACUUUGAAGGCUGCUGAGCUGGUAGCUCUCACUGACUAAAAGCAUGAACCCCAUGAUUUAAGGACUAAUGUAGGUUUGUUUGGUUGGGUUUUUUACCCUGUCUUUGUCUGGACUCGUUCUUUUCAGUUUGCCUACUUCAAGAGCUAGUUUGUUUGAGAAAUAAAUCAGCUAAGAUACUGAAGAAGCAGGAAGACUUGCUUUCCUCUUCAAAUAAGGGAGGAACCCCCCUGUAUUUAAGAUAUUGUAGCUCAGAAAUACAGAAUCAUGUGAUCAGAAGCAGAUUACUAGUACCGUCUCUGUGCUGAAACCUAUGGUUUAAUAAAACCCAAAACGUCACAUUUGAGUUACCGAGGGCACAUGGCGUAUGUGCAUCCAGCCACAGUGAUUUUACAAGAUUUUUGUUUUCACACGGAUGUGACACAAACGCUGAAAGACAUUGUUUUGUGAUGUCACAAGAUCAUGCCUUGCUUCUUAACAUAAACUUGAAUGAAUAUGCAGAUGUAUCUUUGCUUAAAUGUGGAUAGGGAUAGUGUCUUUGUGGUUUAAAGGGUGCCAGAUAAGCAAUAUGUUCAGCAGGUUUUCCAAAUCACACUGAAUUUCACUCAGUCUGUAGGAAAACUACCAGUACCAGCACAGUAUUCGCCUUGAUUACUUUAAUUCUGGGGGGUGGUUGUGGUCUGCUGUUUUGCCCAUGCGUAAGCCUCAUGGCAGAAGAAAACUUAAACUGCUGUCAUGUUUCUGAACUAUAGCUGAGUGAUUGUUUAUGAGGGCUUGCACAUGAGGACCUCGAAGGCUGCCAGAGAGCGGAUCAGAUGGCGUAGCUGGGAGCCAGAGAGCUUUACUCCUCAGCUUUCUGGAGGUGAACUUUUGUUCUACCUACAGCUGAGAAAAACUGGAGAUGGGAAACAAGAUGUGAGCCAGAGAGGAAACUGAGUAAUAGCCGAGUUCAAGAUGUUAGUUCCUCCGAUGGGGCUUGUUUAUUACAAUGGCUGCUGGCAGUAAUAGGAAAGAGUUUUAAACUCAUCCUUUGCACUAUAGAAUUGACUUCCACAGACUGUUGUAGAGGAAACCUCUGUGGAUGGAAAACAUCCUGUAACAGAUAAUGCAAGGAAAGAGAAGUGAACUGGCCUGCUCUGGUUUAUAUCGCAGGUACAAUGCAAUGUCUGUGCGCACUCUUGGUGUAGGAAUUGGUGGUGUCUUUUCCUCUUACAAGCAACGUGAUAUGAACUUCUUGAUUCUCGAAAUCUCGAAAUCAGCACUGAUGCCACUUGUUCUCCUUCUUUCUUCUCUUUACCUUUCCCAUACAGUUAAAGUAUCAGCAGUAGAGGUCAACACACCGGAGGAGAUAUUUGUGGAGAAUGGGACAGACGCAAAGCUUCCAUGCACAUUUACAUCUGUGGAAGUGAUCAGCAGCGCGGCAUCUGUUUCUUGGAGUUUUCAACCAGAGGGAGCUGCAACUCGUAUCUCAUUUUUCUAUUACUUUAAUGGAAAGCCAUACCCUGGAAAGGACAUACCAUUUAAGGACAGGAUCACUUGGGCUGGAGAUCUUAACAAGAAAGAUGCUUCAAUCAGUAUAUCAAACAUGCAGUUCCGGGACAACGGCACUUACAUUUGUGAUGUCAAGAACCCACCUGACAUUGUUGUCAAACCAGGAGAAAUACGAGUUAGAGUUGUGGAGAAAGACAGCCUGCCUGCGUUCCCCAUUGCCAUGGUGGCAGGGAUAGUCAUCGGUACGGUUACAGGUCUCUCACCGCUCAUCUCUAUUGUCGUGUGUCUUGUCAUCAGAAAGAACAACUCUAAAAAACGAUACUCUGGCUGCAGUACAUCUGAGAGCUUGAUGUCACCGGUUAAGCAGGCUCCGCAGAAGUCGCCCUCCGACACAGAGGGUCUGGUAAACAGCGUGCCCGCCAGAUCACACCAGGUAAACUGCUUCCUGCUGCUUCCCGAAGCAGGAUCCUCCCAGAGUGUUGGGGAUAUGGUAUGGAAAAGAUAAAGGCAGGGUGGGACACGUGAAUUAGGUUCUGUCUGUUGAGGUGAUGAGGGCGGGGGGGUAAAAGUGUGCUCUUCCAACAAGGGGUGGCCAGUAAGCUGGGGCUGGUGAGCUCUGCCGCAGAAGACUUAGUGCAAUUGAAAGAAUAGCAUCUUGGUGGUGGUGAGAUGCAAGUUCUUAUGCCCUUGUUGUACUAAUGUAUAAAAAAAGAUGGUUGUGAUCUUGUGCGUUAACACACACAAGUGGUAGCGAAGCGCGAGCCUGGCAAGGAUGAGCAGUGGACAGUGGGUAGCUGUUUAAUGUAGAGACAUUAUCUACUAGAUGCGUAUUCCCCCCCAUAAAGCUGCCUGAUGUGUUCUAGGAUGGUAACGGGAAGGAAUUCUACUUAGUCUCUCAUCACUGCGAAGGGUCAUCCUCUGUGUGGUGUGCUUCCACCACGCGGAAAGGCGCCAGCGCGAUGCAGACGCUGACAGUGAUGAUCACCUUCGAGAUGGCUCGUGCUGCUGAGAGCUCUCCUCUGCUGAGCCACCCAGCUUCUGGCUGCGGGCUUCAAAUUGCCCCACUUUGUCUUGUGCUUGCUGCUGUUGGCAAAGUUCUGCUGACUUGGAAGGAGAAGGGUGGCUCUUGUCCAGACUUAGCAUCCCAUGGGAAAUGAGUCAGAGGGGAGAGAGCAUGAGUCAGGCAGUUCUACCCAAUACACGGUUACCUGUUAACAGUGCACAGGAUUUCCUUAUUUUUGCAAGCUGUUUCUUACCUCUUGAUUUGUUUAUUCCCGGCAAUUUUCCUUGGAGCUAAGGAUCCUGAGUGAGUUUAAGUCCGAAGUGGAGUCUUUCUUAAUUAGCCACCUUUUAGUGAGCGGCUGCAGAGUAGUGUGUGAACUGAUGGGUUUCUAAAAUAGAGUUAAUACCUGGUUUCUUAAUUUUUCCUGACAAAUAAUGGAGAUGUGUGUUAAUGUUUUAACGCUACAGGAAAAAAAAUACAGUGCUAACAGCGAGCUGGAUAAAGUCCAAGUCCCUACUCUGAUGGGCUUCCAGACUGGUUUGGAAAUGCAUCUUGUUCUUGGCAGGUGCAAUAUUUCCAGAAUUUUAGCACAUAGGCCCACAAAGCUACCUACUGACUUCAGAGAACGGUUGUUCUCUGAACAUAAAGGCCAUUUACUCCUGCUGUAAGAUUUAAAAAUAGUUCAGGUUUUGACUGGAGUGGGUCUAGUAGCAGAAGGCUGCCUUUAAGGCUUAGAUAAAGCUUGUCUUUUCUAAUUCGUGCGAGGGGCUUCUAGAAUGGGUGAACGAGACAGGUGAUUCCUGCCUCUCCCCACACACCACCCCCCCCCCCAAAAAAAAAAGGAGGGGGGGAAUAAAAGAAAAAAAGGAAAAAACUUAAGUGUGGGAUGUAUGUUGCAGUAGCUGUUGGAGUCAACAAGCUGCAUAGAGGGAGGGUUUUGCUGUUCUGCACCUACAUCUUGAAAGCAAAAAUACUUUUUAUCUUCUCUGUAACGUUUUGGUGUGAAAAUUUGCUGUGUCUUCACCCCUCUGUGUCGCCAGUGUUCUGGGUCUUAGUGUACUAGAAGGAACAUGUUAGAGUAGAUCUAAACUUUGUAAAGAUAACUCAGAAUCAGCGUGCUUUUGCCCUUCUGUAGUCACUCCAGCCUGCUUACUCCUUGUCAGAGUCGUCCGGGGUCUUCCUGCAGCUAAGUUCCUAAAGGAAAACCCAAAGUGUGAAUACUCCUGACCACAAAGGAAAAACAUGGCAAGUGGCUUGAGUUUUGUUCAAGUUUUAGUUUCGUUUUUUAGGUUUUCAAUCUCUUUUGUUAGGCAAAGAGAGCUUUCUCUGGAUUUUCCUUUCUUGGCAAACGUUCGCAGUAGCAAGCGGUUCCCCUACCUUCUGUUGAGCAUUUGCCCCGUCUUUACAGACCAGCAAGUAAACAUACUUUCUUUUCUUUAAAAAGAUCUACAGUAAAAUCAGGGUAGAUCAGAUUGUGAACAGGUUGUUUAAAUUGGUGAGGAAACUAAAUUUCAAUAGAUCACAUUUCUGUUUUUAACUUCUAGACAUUGUUGUGUUUUUCUUUUUUAAAAAAAGGGUGAGAUCAACAUGCAAAUUAACAUAUUUGAAAUGAGGCAUCGCAUGUAAGCAAAAGCUGGUCGGUGUUUCCUGGUAACCAAGAAAUCAGUUGCAGUAUUCAAGCUUUUGAGCUGUUGUGUAGGUGAUACUCAGAUUCCUAGCAGGUGCCAGAAGCUGUUGCUGGCUGCUGGCAGGUUCAGGCACGCUGGUCUGGCUUUGCCGGGCAGUUUUAGACCGGUGGUUCACAGUCAGUGCUGCGGUCAGACCGUGAAGCCUGUGGAGUUCCUUGUAGCCUCUUAGUAGGAUAUGUAGGAAGCGACUAAACGCUUUGUGCUUCACUGGUGGAGAAGAACUGUGAAUACAAACACACAGCCCCUGCCUCUGUCAGUUAAAAACAGAGAUAGAGGCGUUUACUCGCAAUGAGUGGCAUUUAAAUUAAAUGUAUUAAAUUAAGCUUAUUCAUUUUGUUACUUAUGCAUCAGUUUGAGGGUCAGCGGGCAGGUGUUUGGGCAACCACUUCCCAGCUGAAAGUGCACCUGAGCCUGCCUGCUCUUCCUUUGUGGUUUGGGUGAGAGUUUAUCAAGCGUGGACCUGGCUUUCUGGAGUGCCUCGGAGUGCUGGAAGUGUGCAUCUCUGAUUCUCUGAAUGUUCAGCUGGUUGAUUCAACUCCACUUGUUCUCGCUGUGUCUUCCCUCUCAGCAGGUAUGUUCUGUCCUGUCAAAUGUCAGUGUGGUGUUUCUUCUCCAUGCCAUCGUUCUGUCGGGACCCUUAUUCUACCAUGACUUAUUUGGAUGAGUGAGAAAAGCAUUGCCAGCGAAGGCCAGAAUUGUGUGUGUUUCCCACAUGGAUGUCCUUGUUUAGCUAGUAAUCUGGUUGCAGCAGGCAAACCGGAGGGCAGGUGUGUGUUGUCCCCAGAUUCGCUAACUCCAAGGUGGCUGUCGUUUGUCUGUGUGCUGAGUAUUCAUUUCUGGGCAGGCUGAAGGACCACUGAUCUUACAGUGUGACCUCUGUAGCAGUGCAUUUCUGAUGUACAGAGCAGCAUGGUACAGAGAUUCUAAGCAGGUAGCUGUGUCGGCGUAGAAGCGGGGAGCACUAAAGUCGAGUUAACUUAUGUGCAGACCUCUGGCUUUGCUCAUUCUGGUUUACGACGUACCAGAACAGGCUAUGUUCAAGCUCUGUUCCAGGCUUUGAACUGGACCCCUAAGGAAGAGCAGUUCACGGUGCCAGAAAUCUUGAUUUAAAUUUCAGAUAAAUUUCCUGGACCUGGACUCUGUGAUAGUUGCAAUAUCUUUCAGAAUCUAAAAAAAUCUGAAAAUACUGUAGAACACUGUUAGACCAUGAUGGUCUAACUUUGUAAUUCCUUUUUCUUUGCUGUAACUUGCAGUUUGUGACUCUGCUGAUAAACCCUUAGCAAGGUGUUGGUACACGUGCUACUCUUCUUUUCCUUUCAGUUCUUAAUGGAAAGCACACAAGGCUUAGGUGAUGGAUGCUGGGUUUUAUACGGCAGUGCUGGUCUGUCUCCUGGUUCUGAAGAGUCAGGAUGAGCUUAUGUGGGAUUAGGGGAAAGCUCGGAAUUGGUUUUUUGAAGCUUUUAUUUGUCAGAGAAGGGUCUUUACAAAGAUUCAGGUCACUGGAGAUACCAAGUGCAGGGAAAAAAAUGGCCCUGAUGCUGAUUAGAAUCAGCUAGAAAUUCAGCUGGCAGCAAAUGAAAUAGAUGGCGCAUUGUAAUAAAUCCUUGGUCCUCCUUUUCUCUGUGUCAGCUAAUCUGCCAGUUAUUUAGGUGAUGGUGGACACACUGGGACAAUGAUAGCUUGGUUCGGAUCAGGCGAUCACACCAGUCAGUCUCUCCACCACCACCUAACAUGCUGGUUGCAGUAGAAUGACUGUAUUUAACUUGGCAAUAGAUUAGAAUAGUGAUAACUGAUCCUGAGUGAACUCCUGUGGUAGGAAAUUUCACUUCAACAAAACUUGAAAUGUCAUAGUAAGUACUUCAUGCAGCUGUAGAUUAAUUUUUUUUAUUAUUAAACUGAUAGGAAGUGCUCUCGAGCUGAAUUUAUCAUUCCCUUGACCUAUGGCCUCAGGUAGGUGAGACUUCCAAAAUUGCUUAUAAAUAAACCUUAGGGUCACUUUGCCUUGAAGUUUAUAUAGACACUCACUCUAAUUGUAAUUAGUAAUGUAAUCCUGAUACAGUAUUGGAGACCAGAACAACAUGAGUGGCAACAGUGGAAAAAGAAGAAGAAGUAGGAAAAAAAAAAAAAGGUGGCUCUAAUGAGACUUGAAAUCCAGAAUUUUCUAAGACAUCAGUGUCUCUUUUGAGCAUUUUCUCAGUCUGUUAUUUGUAUUUAUAUAAUAUAAUUGUAUUUAUGUAUUUAUAUAAUAUAUUUAUAUUUAGCGUUUUAUAUCUGCUGGCAAGUUUUCAUCUUUCUGUCCAUCUCCCUCUGCUUUUUAUCACUUGGCAAAUACUUGACCCGGAAGGGAAAAAAAAAUGGAUUUAAACUACUUCUGGAAGAGAACAAGGCUACGGUCCUGUCCUCAGCCCAUCUCGAAUGGCUGCAGUUUGCUUUCCUGGGGGCUGCGUGUUGGAGGACGUGGUGUUUUGGGAAGGUGCUGGCAUGUUUGCGUGCUCUGCUGAAAGAUGGUGCUGUAACGUCCUCCACACUGCACCCCAGCACACAGGACGAAAGCGUGUGGCCGUGCUUGCCCAGUGUGUCUGUGGAGGUGCUGGCUGCCUGGGGUGGCUUCCAAGUCAGGUAAGAAUUCUGCAUUACCGCACCAUUUCAGUGUUGUCUGGCUCGCUGCUGUGUCAGUAUCGAUCCCGUCGCUUGCUGGGGCGGUGACUGGUGUCGUGAGGUGGCGGCAGGUUUGUUCUCUCCCUCGUUAUCCGUGUGGUGCAGCUGUGGUGGGGUCUACAGGGCCUGAGUGGCAGUAUGGGAAGUUUACUUCCCAUAUUAAUAAGAUAAAUCUGUAGCACAGUUCUUGAAAAAUAUUCAGUCUGGCAUGCACCUGCCUAAGCCGUGUAUCUUCGCUGCAGAGCGUGUAAGAAUUGCUGCCGUUCAGAACAGAGGAGCCCAGAUUUUGCUUUUUGUGAGCAGCGAUCAGCCGUACCAGUGUUGAAGGGAGGCAGUGGUGCUGCUUGGCAUGGUCCUGACAGGAGAAAGGUGGCAGAGUAGAGCUCAUGUGUGGGUGAGGGGUUCAUUCCACCUGCUUCCAAGUGCCCUUUAGCAGUCAUAAAAGCUCUGUGGUCUUGCUUUAGCUUUGGUCUUGCUGCAGCCCCGGCGGAAGCAAGGGGCGAGAUGACCUCUUCUGAAAAAUACUGAUUGUGCUUUUUUUUUAUUCUGUUCCCAGGGCCCAGUCAUUUACGCGCAGUUAGAUCACUCCGGAGGACAGCACAGCGACAAGAUUAACAAGUCAGAGUCUGUGGUCUAUGCUGAUAUUCGGAAGAACUGAGAUGAGAACCUAAGCUAUCCAAAGGAAAACACACGUUCAGACUGGAAUUGCUUGAACAAGAUUUGACCCAGAGAACUCACAUGUGGCCUUUGAUGCCUAGGCUAGGACCAAUGCAUGUGCAUACAGAGGGAAAGAUAUAUAUGUAUUGUGUGUAAAUAGUCUAUUUAAUCGUACAGAAGUGAGACCAAUGUUGCAUGUUGAAAUGCGGUAAGAAUUUUGCUUAUAAAUUGCCAAUAUUCUUUUUUGUAUCUUGUGUGACGAGAGAGAAAGUGAAAACUCGCAUCACAAUUUUAAAAUAUUUUUAUCUUGAUUAUUAAUGGAGAAACUGGAAGAUGCCUGAAGAUUCUAGAUUGACCUGGAGAUUCUUUUUUUUUUUUCUUUUUCUGCUCAUAGGGCCUGAUUUCUUUUGUUGAGGUGAGCAUAAAGAAGACACCUUCUUUAUAUUCACAGGGUUCUUUAUGUAUACAGGGUAUUCAUCUUUCCUCGGUUGGAUUCUCAGUACAAGCUGCUUUCUCAUAUAAACUAGACACGCUCACUUGGUCUUGUAAGCCAGAUUGUGACUCCUAGCUGUCCGAAAUGUUUGUCUUAGCAGUGUAAGUGAAGGAAAUGUUUAGGCCUACCUGACCCGUGUAACACACGUCACAGAACAGUUUACUUCUAUAUUGAGCCUGUUUGUUCAAGCUCAGCCCUUUAAAGGUGCAGGGAUAGUUUGGGGCUAAUGAAUUUUGUGAAAUGGUAGUUUACCUGUGAAAAACUUAAGAGCUAGUGAGUUAAAGGGAUAGGAAGCUAUAGCUGUAGGUGUUUGCCUCAGACUCUCUUGAACCUUUCAGUGAAAUGUUUCUUCAUUGAAGCUCUGUCAUUUCAUAUAAGCAUGAAAAAGGGCUCUCAGAGAUCUGGAAGCUGUGGUAUUCCCUCACCUCUCUCCCCUGGCUCCAUUAUACCACUGUCACUUCCUUUAGAGAUGCUUUAUCUGUUCUUAAAAGCCUGUAGUGGAGGCUGAAUGACCUCUGGAGGAAAUCUGCGGCUACACUCUUUGUUGUUUUUUUUUGAUGUGUGGAUUUUUUGUGUAACCUAUAUUUGCACAGAGGAUGUGGAGGACAGUUUAUUUCCUUCCUCUCUGCAAGUCUCCUACUUGAAUAUAAUUUCCCAGCUUAUUGUUUCUAGAUUAAACUCUUCAUAGAUAGUUAAGGAUCUCCCAUCGUUGUCUUCUGCCGAGAGGAUCUUUCUUUAGCUGACCCAUUUGUAUCCUGAAAUGUGAUGCUCAAACCCAGAAGUGGCAUUCCAGCCGAGGUCUUCUCAGAGUAGCAUAUAGUAGAAGGAUUUCUUUUUUGUACAUCCUAAUGGGGUGUUGUUUUUUUGUAGCAGCAAGUAAUUUUCAGCUUGUUCUACCAUAACCCCUUCUUCCUGGUUCUUACCCAUUUCCUAGUUCAGUCUGUUUCACAGAAUCGGUCACAGAAUGGUUGAGGUUGGAUGGGACCUCUGGAGAUCAUCUAGUCCAACCCCCCCUCCUCAAGCGGGGUCAGCCAGAGCAGGCUGCCCAGCAGCUGUGCCCAGCUGGGUUUUGAGUACCUCCACGGACGGAAACUCUACAACGUCUCUGGGCAACCUGUUCCCCUGUUUGAUCACUUAGAGCGAUCAAACAGUAAAAAAAGGUGCUUCCUUGUGUUCAGAUGGAAUUUAGUUUUUUUAAAUUUCUGUCCUCCAUUGCCUCUUGCCCCACCAGUGAGCACUACUGACAAGAGUAGUGCUCUUUGUUCCCUCCCGUUGAGUAUUUAUACCCAUUGAUAUGGUCCCUCCCGAGCCUGCUUUUCUUCAGGCCGAACAGUCCCAGCUCUCUCAGCCUUUGCUCACACGAAAGAUGUUGCAGUUCAUCAUCUUCGUGACCCUGCACUGGGCUUGCUCCAGUAGCUCCAUAGCUUUCCUGUACUGGAGAGCCCAGACUGGACACAGUACUGCAGGUGCGGCCUCACCAGUGCUGAAUAAAGGGGAAGGCUCGCCUCCCUUGGCUUGCUGUCAGUCCUUUGCCUAAUGCAGCCCAGGAUACCAUUUGCCGCCUUUGCUGCAGGUGUACGCUGCUGGCUCACGUUCAACCUGGUGUCCACCAGGACGCCCACAGCGCCUUUUCCACAAAGCUGCUUUCCUGCUGGGCGGCUCCCAGCACGUACAUGGGGUUGUUCCUCCCCAGGCGUGGGCCUUUACACUUCUUGAAUUUCACAAAAUUCGUCUUAGCCCAAUUCUCCGGCCUGUACAGGUCCUUUGGAGCGGCAGCACAACCAUCUGGUGUGCCAGCAUCUCCUGCCGGUUUCGUAUUGUCUGCACAUUUGCCUCUGCUGAAAUUCUGUUAGGGCUUUUUAAGACCUCAGUUUCAAUUUGUCAGUUGAAAACUUGGUUGGAAUUCUCUGCCUGUCCCUCAGUGAGCUUGGAACACGCUUAGCUCGAUAGUUGUAAACUUAAGUCGACAUUCAACUGUAACAUCAAGUAAAUGAAAAGUAGUUUUAGGCCCAUGGCAGACCCUUUCAGAACCACAUAGGAUAAUCCUUUAAUUAAGACAGUGCAACUUUAAUAACUAUUUUGUGUACAGUGGGUUCCCCCCCGGCCCCCCCACGAAAGCUGGGUGUGCCAACACCAUGUUCUUCCGUCAGGGUCGGACCUCACUGGUUUCCUGACACCACCUGCCUUUGUUGGAAGCCUCGCUGAGGUCAGGAUGAAUGGUGCUGCUGCUGCUUCCCUUAUCUGCCAGGCUGCUACUGCCCAACAUUUGUUUUACACUUAGUAAGAAACAAACACUUUUGAGGUGGUUGAUGGAGAAACUCAGUUUUGAUCUGCCCGUGUUCAUCCCUGUGCGUCACUGUCUUUCUCCCCAGAUGUUUUAGAGAAAGAAGGAGAAAUGUGAUGAACAGAGCGAUCAAAAACUUGCUGCUAUGGGAAGAUAGGGCUGUCCUAGGCUCUGAAGUCUGCUACUAAUGUUUGUUUCUUUUCCUACUGGAAUAUACUGGAGAAUCUGAGCACAAUCCUGAUCUGGUGCUAAGAAACUAAGAAACCUGCUGAUUCGGUGCUAACUUCAAGGAACCUGCUGACUUUAGGAAACAUGCUGAUCUGCUGAUCUGGUGCUAACUUCAAGGAACCCACUGGCUUUAGGAAACGUGCCGAUCUAGUGAACUGGUGCUAACUUCAGGAGACAUCCUGAUCUGGCUGGUGCUAACUAACCUGAGGAAACAUCUUUCUUUGCUUUUGUUUAGCUGCAGGUAUGUUCGGAUUGCCUGUACCGAGGAGGCUCCUUGCAGGGCUGCUUGGAUCCUCUUUGUGAAGGCAGAAUGAACUUGGAAGUGUUUUUUUGAAAUGCUGAAUAUCUUUUUAGAAAGAAACAAACAUCCCCGCAGGAAUAACAGAAAUCAGUCUGAAUCCCUCCCCAGUGCAAAAGCUAUUGAAUUUUUUUUUUUUUUUUUUUCAUGGACAUGUGAACAAUGUAGCUGUUGAAUAACUUUACUCUGGUUGAAGUCAAAAGAACUUGAGGCAAUGUGAGGCAACAUUUGUGAACUUUCUGUCCCUCAGGUUAUCUUGGCUGGUUUCACCAGGCGAUAACAUGUGCUGAUGAAAGGGACUGGUGCGAUGUUGGCUUACUUAGUAAAGUCUCAGGAGACAGGACUUCUGCUUCCUUGAUGGGUGGCAGGUGGAGAUUAAAGCCAGACAAGGUCAUCAUAUCCUGACGUUAUGGUGACCAGGUUAACUGCUCUACGGCUGUUCUCUUCAUUCUCCGACGCUGUUCUUUGCAGGUGGAAAGGAGCAGCUUGGCCUUUGAGGAGCACUAAGUGUGUUGUCCUGUCGUAGUACUUUUUCAGGGCCACCUAUUUUGAGAAGAAGUGCUGCGUGGCAGGCUUACUGCAGCAGAGCUGAGGAGCAGGCAGCCUCUCCAGGCAGUAGCAAAUGACCAAAACUGUACACGGGCCAUCGCUCUCGGAUGGCAGAGCUGGGGAAGGUGUGUGUGAUGUUGAAAGGCUUGAAGUGGAUUCUCUUUUAUUCACCAUGCAAACAAAACUGGGAUCAGUCUGAAAGCCAUUUCUGAGCUGAGGGGGAUGGGAAAAAGGUAUUUUAUGAGUAAAAGCCAUGUUUUGUGGGAAUGCCGGAUGGCCAGCCUGGGCUGUGGCAGCUAAGCCAGCUGGCACCCCUAGGGCCAGGGCAUCGGUCACCUUCCCUGUUAACAGAACUGCCAAGUCGAGAAGUUUUGGCUUUUUACUAACAGUGCAUAUAUUCUUCCUUCGUUUUGAUUAACAGAAAUGAAUUUUGAGAAGAGGAUUACAAAUAAUUAUAAAGUAUCGAUCUGAGUAAAUUGGUAGCUGUACUCAGUACAUCAAAUCUCAGUUGCCCCUUUUGACUUCAGCAGUUGUUCAGAGAGGGAGGUGGUUGGCAUGUUCGUGAAAUGGCAGUAAGAGCUAUUACAGGGUGGCACAUAUGUCCCUGUAACUAAUUGAAUGAUUUCUCAUUUAUAACCAGAGACCUGUAGGGUUUUGUUUUCUCUCAAAGCUUUAGUGAUAUUUUGUGACUAGAAGAGCUGGAAUUAGGUUUUUAAUUUUUUUAACCUGUGAGAACUGUUUAGGUAACCAUCUGUCUUGUAACUGCAGUAAAUGUCUAUAUGUGACUUGGAAGCUGCAUUGCCUUAGAGUAAAUUCAUUGAGGUCAAGCGUGGGCUGUUUGAUUUAUAACCAAAACACCUUCACUCUGUAUUGAAAUCUUGUCUUGGAAAUUUACAUUAUUAAUGUGUCUACCUAGGACCUCAAAUACAAAAUGUUCUUAUUGUAUAGUAGGUGAUGGGAAUAUUUUCUCUUUAAAACCAUCGAAGCUGAGAAGGUGGGUAAGGCUUCUGGGCUGUGGCCGCACCCCUGCAGCACUAGUAUUUAGGUAGUUUUUAUACGGGAGACUACAAAAUCAUAUUAACUAUGCUCAGCAAUUAUACUCCUCUUAAGGCUUCUCUUUCCCUUCUCUUCACUGCCCUACAGCUAAUAAGCCCUUUCAGUUAACGGUAUUUUUGCACUCUUAAAAUGUAAGUUCAAUGCCUUCAGAGAUCGAUGUGUGCUGUGCAAUCUUUUCUGCCUCCCUGCGACGCCAGCUGGUUUUAUGUGGUAAAUGUAGUCGGAACGAUGGACUGGGUACUGCUCUUUUGUAAACCUCAGUCUCGGAGGUACGCAAGAGAGCAAACACUUGUAAGACAGGUGUAUAAUCUGUGUGAGGGAGCUAGAUAUGCAUUGCAUGGCCUGACUACGUGAAGAGCCAGUGUACCAACUGUUACUGCUUUUGCUUUUACAGACUCAUCUGGAAACAGUUAUCUUGGAUAUUUUUUCUUGAAUGGACUUUCAUGUUUUCUAUUGUAAUCUUGUGAAUAUUUUAAUACACUCCCCCACCCCCUCA